UACGUAGGGUGCAAGCGUUAAUCGGAAUUACUGGGCGUAAAGCGUGCGCAGGCGGUUAUGCAAGACAGAUGUGAAAUCCCCGGGCUUAACCUGGGAACCGCAUUUGUGACUGCAUAGCUGGAGUACGGCAGAGGGGGGAUGGAAUUCCGCGUGUAGCAGUGAAAUGCGUAGAUAUGCGGAGGAACACCGAUGGCGAAGGCAGUCCCCUGGGCCUGUACUGACGCUCAUGCACGAAAGCGUGGGGAGCAAACAGG
rnacentral:rRNA from 1 species